UCAACCCCAGCGUGGACGUUUGCUCCGACCGGGAGUUGCAGCUCCUUUGUGCAGCUGCAGGAACAGCUGUGCAGCUCCCCGGCAGCCCGGUGCUCCCCGGGGAACGCUCCUCCGCUUGCCGGCGGAGCGGCUCGCUCCCUGCCCUGGGAAGCCCCUGGGACCUGCUGGUGGUGUCUGUACCGCUCCAAGCGCGAGGGAGUCCUGAUCUUCGGUCCAGAGGAAACAGAGCCAGGCGCAAUCCGGGAGACAAACCACCCCCAGCGGAGUGCCCCGGUAGGAGAGGCAGACCGAUGGGCAACGCGUGGCGCCUGGGGAGGUGCCUCUUGCAAGAGAUUGACUUCGACAGCCCAGCACAUGUCCGCUUCUGACGGGCCCCGGCUCCUCGAUGAAUCCUCCAAACUUUAAUUGGAGACACGAUGCUCCGUUUGCACAGAACAGAAAAUCCCACCUCGGAUUUCUCCGUCGAGAAGAUUAUCCAUUUGGCCUCUAAGUGCCGCCCUUCCCGCGGGCACGUGCUCCUGCGGCCGCGCAGGGAGGCAACGGGAAGGGACGGGGUCUGCUGCCGGCGGUGGGGCACGGCCCUGGGGAGCUUCUGCCCCAAAUUAUGUACUUUUAGGAACUGCU